CCUCGUCCACAUCUUCGUGUUGUUGCCUAGAAAUUUCGCUUUACUUCUCUAAACCACCCAGCAGCCCUUCUAUAGGUGGUGAUUAGUUGAGCAGCUGCCACACCCGUGUGCCUUUAUCCAACAGCUUCACCCGCCGUUCUCGGUCACGGACUCUGCAGUGUCACCACUUGGCCUCUGAGCAGGGACAGCGCCAUCUGCCCACCUGGCAGGAUCCCUGCACAACCGACAGACCACUGUCAAGGUCAUCGCCUUCCCGCCACAGCUCCUGCUUCUGCGCUCUCUCCUUCCUCAGCAAAUGAUUCUCCUCUUCUGUCCGGUGGCCUCCAGCAGUCUCUCUUCAUUCCUGAGCUGCAGGUCUAAGAUAUACCAGCCGACGGUGAUGGAUCCACGCUGAGGAGGGAGGGUCCCUCCACAUGGACACUACGUGUGACGAUGUGGCCUGGACCUGCUGCUGACCAGCCAAAUCCCUCGCCUCCCAACGCGGCUGGACCGGACGGGUCUGUGGAAGACGUGGAAGACCGGGACACGCACACACACAUCCCGGGAGAAAAGACUCAGGUCCAACCAGGGCAAGGACUCAUUGGCUGAAAAGCAGCUCUUCCAUGCCAGGUGGCCAUGGGCCUGUGACCUCUGCCCUUGGCUCAGCGAACAGCCCAGGAAGCCCACAGAGCCCCGGUGGAUGCUUGUUGGGACCCUCCAAAGACCUCGCUUCUCUCUGGCAUCCUCGCAGACCCACGCAAGCACUUUGGGGCUUUCUGAGAAACAGUUUGGAUCAAGAUAUGGGAAAUCAAUCCUCUGAAAGCCAAUUAACACAAUGACCUUGACUGACCAGUUUGCUGAAAAUCAAUUCCCUAAAUGAUCGAUGUACCCAAACCUUGAGACAAAUAUUUUAAACCUGGCCUGGCCAGUGUCUGUAGCCAUUGCUAGCAGGAGCAGGGGCAGGAGUAGGGGCUCAGCAUUCCAGCCAAAUAGCUGAGCCAGGGCCAAGGGCACAUUAGAAGAAGACUGUCAAGCCGGGCCAGUGCAUAGCUGCUAGAAAACAGCCAGAAAGAGAAACCUCUGGGGCCUGUCUCGGUGAUUCACCUAACAGAUCACAUGGGCCCAUCUCAUUCUGGGCACAUGGCUUUAGCGAAUUGAUCUAAUUCUGAGGACACAGCAGAGAGCAGAAGUC